UUACGAUCCAAUAUGGCGGACAGGAGAUGGAGCGCGAGUUUGAACGCACCGUCUAAACUAAAGUAUGAUGUUCGGCAGAAUUUAGGCUUUUGACAGAUAAACCGUGAAUUGGAUUAAACUUCUGCAGUGUGGACACGUUAAAACAGCGCUAAAGUACCACAGGAACAGCGCAGAGACUACAUCUUGGGUCUGACGGAAGAUGACGAUACUGGAGACAUAAUACGAAAUACUGAGCUGCCAGAGCAGAAAAAUGCCAAGUUACAGACGGAACUAGUCUGCAGGAGGUUACAGGUGAUGGACGGACGAGCUGCUCCACGCACAGGCGGAUCAGGACAGUGCUGGACAGAACAGACUGGAUCUGACAGACAUUGCCAUUACGUCUGAGCAACAACAAGCUGCUGCCAAAGCUGCGUGUACUGGAGCUCCACUAAGUCGGGGCUCGCAUCUGCGGCUGGAUCCUUAAAGUAGAGUGUGGCAGUGUCUUCCCCCCGCUGGCCCGUCCGCCGGGCCCUGUGCUCAGUCACCUCUUUGGGCUGCUCCUGGCGACAGCGGUUGCUGUUCCACCCAGCCUCCCG